rnacentral:rRNA from 1 species
UACGUGGGGUGCGAGCGUUGUUCGGAAUUACUGGGCGUAAAGCGUGCGCAGGCGGUUCGUUGUGUCUGCUGUGAAAUCCCCGGGCUCAACCUGGGAAUGGCAGUGGAAACUGGCGAGCUUGAGUGUGGCAGAGGGGGGUGGAAUUCCGCGUGUAGCAGUGAAAUGCGUAGAGAUGCGGAGGAACACCGAUGGCGAAGGCAACCCCCUGGGCUGACACUGACGCUGAGGCGCGAAAGCGUGGGGAGCAAACAGG